UGUGGUGACCCAGCUCCGGGGACAUUUCUGGGGAGGUUCAUGUGCUCAUCACCAACUUCCAACAUCUGGUGGAGACUGGCUAUUUGGUUGACCCCUAACAUCCCUUCCACCCUUGGAAAUGAUUGGUUUGGUCCAAGCAUGGAAGCCCAGUCUUCUUGUUGGCUGAGGAAAGGGCACAGGACCCGAUUCUAUCCAAUCAGGUUGGGAAAAUGUUCUGGGCACAAGUUAUGGCUUCCAUGGGUUCCCUGAGAAAGAACUCAGAGAGCAAGACUCCCCUGCAGGUGAUUUAUUGAAGACUGUUCUUGGGACCAGCAGCCAAGUACUUCCCCAGCUGUGUUCCACCGUGGCUUGACUCUCGAUGUGCCCGGAGGAGAGGAGAGGUGGGUCCUCAGGGGGGCAUGAGUUGCUUUGCAUUCUCUUCCCUGGUAUCUCUAGUCUACUUUGUUGCUGGGACCAUUUUUAACAACUGUUGCAGACUGGCAAGGUCUAGUACCAGUGAUGGGUCCUCGUGGCCAGCUGGCUGGUAGGUGGUCUAUACCCAAAACAGCCUUGCAAAUCAGCUUCUUAGGACUGCUCCUCAUGUGGAUUCUUCUGGAGUGAGUUUCAUGGGAGGACGAUUCUGAAGCAGAGUCUUGUGCAUAAGCGAUUUAUCAGGGAGUGCUUCAGAGAAUACAGUCUGCCAAGGAGAGAUGGGAAGAGGAUCAGGCAAGGCGGGAAGUAGAAAGUGGAAGUUGACGUGGUUGCAACAGACAUGCCAGCCUGUCUCAUGAGGAGCUGGGACCAGUCACCGGUUAUGGGAUGUCCCAGGGCUCAGACCCAGGGAGGGCGCAGGCCCUGGAACAAGGCAAUCACCCUCGAAUGGACGCAAUCCCUGGGGAGGGGCUGGCAGUGAGACACCACUGGUCAUCACUCCUGGCAGCAGGAACGCGAAGCCCCUUCCUGGAAGGAAGUGUCUGGGUGGUGCUCCCCAGUGUCCGCCACAGAUCCUCACGCUGCAAGGGAGGGUGCCACAAGAGACUGUCCCCUUCUCCCUCUGGGAGUCACUGUUCCUGGACCUGUGCCUGCAAGGGCCAGAGCCACGGUGCCUCCCGAGGAAGCCACCAAGGGUGAAGGAGACGGACAGAAGCUGGUCCCGUGCUUCCACCGAGAGGCUGCACCGUCCUGGAGCUUGAAGGCUUAGUUCACAUCAGCUUGGAUGGGUUCUCUCUUCCUCGAAGAGGGUAGCCUCGUGAUGGCUGCUCAGGGUCAAAACUGAGUUUACGGACAGUUCGAGGGAUGGCUGCAGGAAAUGGGAGACAGAAUAAGCGAGGUCGAUUGAAUUCUUUUCUGACCAUGGGCCUGCAUUAAAAAAAAAAAAAAAA